CAGCUGCUGCUUCGUCAGGACAGUCCGGUCUGGUCUGGUUCCUACUAGUGCUACCCAUUUUAAUCUUCCAUUUUAAUCCGCCUCCUCCGCCGCCUCCGCCGUGGGAGUCGGUCGGUGCCACCCGCUGUCCGCCACUCUGACUGCGAGUGUGAAAAGAAGCGUCCUGCGAUUUUCAUCUCCACCGCCAUUCCGUGCCGCGUCCGAGUGAACCCCCGCCUCGAGAACUCGCUGGAAAAGUUCACCGGCUUGGCAGUUGGCAUUGCAUGAUCUCUGAUUUCGUCGUCUCGGCUCUUUCUCGUUCCCCAAGGCACGCUCCUCCAGUGCAACGUUUUGCACUCCUUCGGAUCUGAUCUGCUCUGCUCUGCGCAUUCCCUCCCUGGCGAGUAAGUGGGAGAUAUACUCCCGGAAUUGACGAGGAUGGCGGCUGAGCUCGUCAAUGCUGCGACGAGCGAUAAAUUGGGGGAGACGGAUUGGGCCAAGAACAUCCAGAUCUGCGAACUAGUGGCGCGUGAUCAGAGGGCUGCGAAAGAUGUCGUGAAAGCAAUUAAAAAAAGUUGGGAGGUAAAAGCCCCCAUUCGCAGCUGUAUUCAAUUACGUUAUUGGAGAUGCUGAUGAACAACGUUGGUGAAUAUAUUCAUAAGCAAGUGAUCGAAUCUGGAAUUCUUCCCAUUCUUGUAAAGAUGGUGAAGACAAAGACUGAUUUCUCCAUACAAGAGAGGAUAUUUCAUCUGCUAGAGGCAACACAAUCCUCCCUUGGGGGCGCUUCGGGGAAUUUCCCUCAAUAUUUUUCUGCAUAUCAGGAAUUGAUGAGCUUAGGAAUACAGUUUCCUCAACGGCAUGAAUCUGCACCUUCUGAUCCAUCUGCCACACGAGUAAAUGGGAUUGCACCAUCAGCCUCUCCUUUACAAGUGGAGAAAAAUAUUAUGUCAAGUCGGGAAGAGGCCUCUGCCAGAGUUGAUAGACAUCCACACCAACCAGAAGUACAGUGCAUUCCCGAAUCAAGUAUUAUUCAAAAGGCCAGGAAUGCAUUGGAGGUUAUGAAAGAGGUCAUGAAUACAGUCGCUGGUCAACAGACUCAACAUGCUCUGGGUCCAAAGGAUGAAUUCACCCUUGAUCUUGUGGAGCAAUGCUCUUUCCAGAAACAAGGAGUAAUGCAUCUUAUUCUAACAUCUAGGGAUGAAAAAGUAGUUUCUCAAGCAAUUGAAUUGAAUGAACAACUCCAGAAGGUACUUGAAAGACAUGAUGCUCUUCUUUCUGCUAGAACUGGAACAACUGCACAUCAUACUGAUUGUAAACCAGAGGAGGAAGAAGAAGCUCAACAGCUUUUCCGAAGGACACAGAGAGGAAAAGCUUGUGCAAGGCCUGAAAAAGAAGAGAAUUCCAAGCAGAGGCACACCUUAGAGUUGUCAGAAUCGUCCAAUUCAGAUCAAUCUACUGUACGAGGAAUUGUGUACGAAACAUCAAAUUCUACUAGAAAAGCAGAUAAGAAUAAUGCGUCUGAUCAGGAGGUAGCAUAUGCCAGUGGGAGUGGACUUUCUCAGCAACCAGAAGUACAGUGCAUUCCUGAAUCUAGUAUCAUUCAGAAAGCUAGGAAUGCAUUGGAGGUUUUGAGAGAGGUCCUUGAUAAUGCUGAUGGUCAACAAACUCAACAUCCUAUGGCCACCAAAGAUGAGUUCACCCUUGAUCUUGUUGAGCAGUGCUCUUUCCAGAAACAAAGAGUGGUGCAUCUUGUUCUAUCAUCUCGGGACGAGAAAACAGUUUCUCAGGCAAUUGAAUUGAAUGAGCAACUUCAGAAUCUACUUGACAGAUAUGAAGCACUACUUUCUGGUAGAACUGAGAUGGCUGCAAGUAAUGUAGAUUGUGAAGCAGAUGAGGAAGAAGAGCCUCAACAACUUGUCCGAAGGAUUCGGAAAGGAAAAACUAGUGUGAGACCUGAAGAUGAAGGGAUUUCUAUGAGGAGCCACACUCUAGACUUGUUAGAACCUUCAAAUUCAAGACAACAAGUAUAUCACCCGUGCAAACAGCCUGCAUGCACUGAGCCAUCUGAGUGCAAUGGGCAGCUUUUGCCUGUCGCAAUUCCGCCUCCACCUGCAAAACACGUUGAGAGGGAAAAGUUUUUCAAGGAAAACAAGUUGGCUGGCUCUGCUGUGGCUGGUUCUGCUGUGGCUGGCCACAUGAGGCUUCUGUCAUUGGAAAACGUUCAUGGCAGCAGCUCUCACAGUGGGAACAGUAACUCCAGUGACCAAAGUUAAACAGUAUCAUGCGGUGCUUUAGUAGUCUUGCUUAUAACUGUAUUCUAUUAGUUGAUUUUGUUUACUACCCUACCAAUAGGCGUUGUGAAAGAAGAGAACUGCUGCAACAUGAUUGUACAGAGAGCAUUCAGGUUUAAGGGGGGAUAUUCGACUGAAUAUAUGACUAUUCACUUUCAACUGCUGUGUUGACUUUGCAUUGAAUACUGGAGGAAUGAGAUUUCUGAUUUUUUUC